GGGUGGCUCAGAGGUAGAGCACUUGCCUAGCAUGUGUGAGGCCCUGGGUUCGACCCUCAGCACCA
rnacentral:tRNA from 1 species